rnacentral:lncRNA from 13 species
AUGCAUGCCACUAACUGUGGAAGAGUUGGACUGGUUGAGGCUUACAAACGUCAACGAAGGCAUUUGGCCUGGAGGUUAAAAACAAAGAUUCUGCCAGGGAGUAAGAAGUGGUGGGUGGAAAAGGGUUUGGGGGGAAGGUGCUCUAGAGUGCCCUCAAAGGGAAGGUCCUCAUUCCCUCCAACCACCAGAACAAAGCAUUUCUCCCCGUCAUAGUGUUUAAGUCUGAGCUAUCUGUCUGGAACAGUGUUAUGUAGUUGGUUAUUAUUACAACAUGUCGUGACGGAAACUUCCAUUGAUACUUCACUCAUAAACCAACUUUGGUAGGUUGUUAGACCACUUCUGUGGUCUGGAAACGUGACAAACUUUAGUGAACUUUAAGCUCACUAAUGUUUUAGUGUUUGUAGAAGCUUUAGCUAGAAGGAUCACAGGGUUUUUAUGGAUCAAAAUGGGGCUUAGGUGGUGGGCCUGGCCAAUGGUGCGGUGGCCGACCGAAAAUGUUUGAGGCCUUCCUGUUGACCGCCGUUUUAAAGCAAAUUUCCUGCAAUUCUGCCAUGAGGCUGAGAGAGAAAUGUACAGUUUUAAAGAUCAUUUCCUGCCAUUCUAAACAUGUUGCCAUGGCUUAUGAUAUGUGAAUGACUCAAAAUGUAUAACAAAGUCAAUGGAGGCCCAUGCCAUGACAAAAACACUCCUGAAUGUAUAAUUUUAGAUUGUCCCGGACUUUCUCUCUCUUAUUUUGGUGACUGUUGGUCCUCAGAGAUGAUAGUAUAAAAAUGUCUACAGUUGAAGUGGGAAGUUUACAUACACUUAGGUUGGAGUCAUUAAAACUCGUUUUUCAUCCACUCCAUAAAUGUAUUGUUAACAAACUACAGUUUUGGCAAGUCGGUUAGGACAUCUACUUUGUGCAGUAAUUUUUCCCACAAUUGUUUACAGACAGAUUAUUUCACUUAUAAUUCACUGUAUCACAAUUCCAGUGGGUCAGAAGUUUACAUACAUUAAGUUGACUGUGCCUUUAAACAGCUUGGAACAAUCCAGAAAAUGAUCUCAUGGCUUUAGAAGCUUCUGAUAGGCUAAUUGACAUAAUUUGAGUCAACUGGAGGUGUACCUGUGGGUGUAUUUCAAGGCCUACCUUCAAACUCAGUGCCUCUUUGCUUGACGUCAUGGGAAAAUAAAAAUUUGUAGACCUCCACAAGUCUGGCUCAUCCUUGGGAGCAAUUUCCAAAUUCCUGACGGUACCACGUUCAUCUGUACAAACAAUAGCAUACAAGUAUAAACACCAUGGGACCACGCAGCCGUCAUACCGCUCAGGAAGGAGUCCCCUAGAGAUGAACGUACUUUGGUGAGAAAAGUGCAAAUCAAUCCCAGAACAACGGCAAAGGAAACUUGUGAAAAUGCUGGAGGAAACAGGUACAAAAGUAUCUAUAUCCACAGUAAAAUGAGUCCUAUAUCAACAUAACCUUAAUGGCCACUCAGCAAGGAAGAAGCCACUGCUCCAAAACCGCCAUAAAAAUGCCAGACUACGGUUUGCAACUGUACAUGGGGACAAAGAUCCUACUUUUUGGAGAAAUGUCCUCUGGUCUGAUGAAACAAAAAUAGAACUGUUUGGCCAUAAUGACCAUCGUUUUGUUUGGAGGAAAAAGGGGGCGGCUUGCAAGCUGCAGAACACCAUCUGAACCGUGAAGCACGGGGGUGGCAGCAUCAUGCUGUGGGGGACUGGUGCACUUCACAAAAUGGAUGGUGUCAUGAGGAAGGAACAUGUAUGUGGAUAUAUUGAAGCAACAUCUCAAGACAUCAGUCAGGAAGUUGAAGCUUGGUCACAAAUGGGUCUUCCAAAUGGACAAUGACCCCAAGCAAACUUCCAAAGUUGUGGCAAAAUGGCUUAAGGACACAAAGUCAAGGUAUUGGAGUGGCCAUCACAAAGCCCUGACCUCAAUCCAUUAGAAAAUGUGUGGGCAGAACUGAAAAAGUGUGUGCGAGCAAGGAGGCCUACAAACCUGACUCAGUUACACCAGCUCUGUCAGGAGUAAUGGGCCAAAAUUCACCCAACUUAUUGUGGGAAGCUUGUGGAAGGUUACCCUAAACGUUUGACCCAAGUUAAACAAUUUAAAGGUAAUGCUACCAAAUACUAAUUGAUUGCAUGUAAACUUCUGACCCACUGGGAAUGUGAUGAAUGAAAUAAAAGCUGAAAUAAAUAAUUCUCUCUACUAUUAUUCAGACAUUUCACAUUCUCAAAAUGAAGUGAUGAUCCUAACUGACCUAAGACAGGGAUUUUUUUACUAGGAUUAAAUGUCAAAAGUGAGUUGAAAUGUAUUUGGCUAAAUAUAUGUAAACUUCAGGGGUAGGUCUGUUAUCUUUUCUACGUAGUUUAUAUCUGGUUUUAGUCGUUUAAGUUUACACUCACAAUGUUUUUCCAUCCUUUUUCCAUUCCAUUUUAUUAUAAGAUUAUUUUUUUUACUGUUUGGACAUAGGCAGCCUGAAAACACACUUAGGAAGCCCGCCCAAUACUUUUCUUUGCAGAAAAAAACCCUGGAUCGGUGGCUUGUGUGUAUCUAUCUGAAAAUAGUCUCUGUAAAAUCAAACACAACCAAAUUCUAAGGUGAGAUUCAUUCCACGUGUGGAACUCUGACUCUCACCGUCUGAUGGGGAAGCGCAUUAAGAUUCCUAUGCAGCUUUAGUGGGAUCAGCUUAUAGUUCCACAUUCAAACCAUAGCACUGUUUAUGCAAUGUCUGCACACACACACACACACACACACACUUCUAAUUCUGAGGGAAGUGUAGCUGGUUGUACUAGUAGGUUGGCGGAUUAAGACACAGGUACGUGUGUUUCAUAUUUAGUCAAAAACUGGGG